rnacentral:lncRNA from 1 species
GGCCCUGACAUGGGUCCAGGACUGGUGACACCCUAAUUUAAGUCCUGGGUAGGACCAGGCAGAUCAGGUGGCUCAGAGCUAGCACAAUAGACUGUGAGGGGAAGCCGCACUCCCUGAUCAGGGCAGAUCAGGAGGAUUCCAAGUGUAAUUGGCCUCCAGGGAGUAUGUAAGUCACUCUUGUACACCCCCUCAGACCUCCUUAAUGCCUUGCCAGCUGGAAGGAAAAGAGCCUCUUGCAUUGCCCACAAAGGAAGCAGAGAUUGAGGGGAGAAGAACUGGAGAAAUUAAAAAAGUGGAAAGAGACAGCAACACAAAUAAAGAGGUUGAGUACCAGUAGAAACCUCAUAUUUACCUGGAAGAUUACUUUUAGGAAGCUUGAAGAAUUCUCUCUUCCAACUUGGUUAAUCUGAGUUCUGUGGCACCUACAAGAGAAAUGGCUGCUUAUAUGUGACAACCUGCAGAUCUGAGCAGCAGGGGAACAAAGGCAGGGCCAACACAAUGGCACUGGUCCCGUUGAGUCCUGGGGAGUCCUCAGCUUUCAGGAGUCCCCUGAAUAUGGGGCAACCCCACAGGUCUGAAAUACUACACUUUGACUAAAAAUCUUAAUGUUGGGCUGGAAGAGAUGAACUUCUAGGGCUGGUAGAAGGAGUUGAGAAUGAGGUGGC